AGCAGCAGCCGCGGGAAUACGUAGGGUGCAAGCGUUAAUCGGAAUUACUGGGCGUAAAGCGUGCGCAGGCGGUUCGCUAAGACAGAUGUGAAAUCCCCGGGCUUAACCUGGGAACUGCAUUUGUGACUGGCGGGCUAGAGUAUGGCAGAGGGGGGUAGAAUUCCACGUGUAGCAGUGAAAUGCGUAGAGAUGUGGAGGAAUACCGAUGGCGAAGGCAGCCCCCUGGGCCAAUACUGACGCUCAUGCACGAAAGCGUGGGGAGCAAACAGGAUUAGAUACCCGAGUAGUCCCUGUCUCUUAUAC
rnacentral:rRNA from 1 species